rnacentral:rRNA from 1 species
AAGGUAGCGAAAUUCCUUGUCGGGGUAAGUUCCGACCUGCACGGAAUGGCGUAACGAUGGCCACACUGUCUCCUCCGCAGACUCAGCGAAGUUGAAAUGUUUGUGAUGAUGCAAUCCUCCCCCGCGGAAAGACGGAAAGACCCCAUGAACCUUUACUGUAGCUUUGUAUUGGACUUGAACGGAUCUGUGUAGGAUAGGUGGGGAGGCUUUGAAGUGAGGUCGCUAGAUCUCAUGGAGCCAACGUUGAAAUACCACCCUGGUGCGUUUGAGGUUCUAACCUGGGUCCCUUAUCGGGAUCGGGGACAGUGCAUGGUAGGCAGUUUGACUGGGGCGGUCUCCUCCCAAAGCGUAACGGAGGAGUUCGAAGGUACGCUAGGUACGGUCGGACAUCGUGCUAAUAGUGCAAUGGCAUAAGCGUGCUUAACUGCGAGACUGACAAGUCGAGCAGAUGCGAAAGCAGGACAUAGUGAUCCGGUGGUUCUGUAUGGAAGGCCAUCGCUCAACGGAUAAAAGGUACUCC